rnacentral:rRNA from 1 species
AGCGUACACGGUGGAUGCCCUGGCAGUCAGAGGCGAUGAAGGACGUGCUAAUCUGCGAUAAGCGUCGGUAAGGUGAUAUGAACCGUUAUAACCGGCGAUUUCCGAAUGGGGAAACCCAGUGUGUUUCGACACACUAUCAUUAACUGAAUCCAUAGGUUAAUGAGGCGAACCGGGGGAACUGAAACAUCUAAGUACCCCGAGGAAAAGAAAUCAACCGAGAUUCCCCCAGUAGCGGCGAGCGAACGGGGAGCAGCCCAGAGCCUGAAUCAGUGUGUGUGUUAGUGGAAGCGUCUGGAAAGGCGCGCGAUACAGGGUGACAGCCCCGUACACAAAAAUGCACAUGCUGUGAGCUCGAUGAGUAGGGCGGGACACGUGGUAUCCUGUCUGAAUAUGGGGGGACCAUCCUCCAAGGCUAAAUACUCCUGACUGACCGAUAGUGAACCAGUACCGUGAGGGAAAGGCGAAAAGAACCCCGGCGAGGGGAGUGAAAAAGAACCUGAAACCGUGUACGUACAAGCAGUGGGAGCACGCUUAGGCGUGUGACUGCGUACCUUUUGUAUAAUGGGUCAGCGACUUAUAUUCUGUAGCAAGGUUAACCGAAUAGGGGAGCCGAAGGGAAACCGAGUCUUAACUGGGCGUUAAGUUGCAGGGUAUAGACCCGAAACCCGGUGAUCUAGCCAUGGGCAGGUUGAAGGUUGGGUAACACUAACUGGAGGACCGAACCGACUAAUGUUGAAAAAUUAGCGGAUGACUUGUGGCUGGGGGUGAAAGGCCAAUCAAACCGGGAGAUAGCUGGUUCUCCCCGAAAGCUAUUUAGGUAGCGCCUCGUGAAUUCAUCUCCGGGGGUAGAGCACUGUUUCGGCAAGGGGGUCAUCCCGACUUACCAACCCGAUGCAAACUGCGAAUACCGGAGAAUGUUAUCACGGGAGACACACGGCGGGUGCUAACGUCCGUCGUGAAGAGGGAAACAACCCAGACCGCCAGCUAAGGUCCCAAAGUCAUGGUUAAGUGGGAAACGAUGUGGGAAGGCCCAGACAGCCAGGAUGUUGGCUUAGAAGCAGCCAUCAUUUAAAGAAAGCGUAAUAGCUCACUGGUCGAGUCGGCCUGCGCGGAAGAUGUAACGGGGCUAAACCAUGCACCGAAGCUGCGGCAGCGACGCUUAUGCGUUGUUGGGUAGGGGAGCGUUCUGUAAGCCUGCGAAGGUGUGCUGUGAGGCAUGCUGGAGGUAUCAGAAGUGCGAAUGCUGACAUAAGUAACGAUAAAGCGGGUGAAAAGCCCGCUCGCCGGAAGACCAAGGGUUCCUGUCCAACGUUAAUCGGGGCAGGGUGAGUCGACCCCUAAGGCGAGGCCGAAAGGCGUAGUCGAUGGGAAACAGGUUAAUAUUCCUGUACUUGGUGUUACUGCGAAGGGGGGACGGAGAAGGCUAUGUUGGCCGGGCGACGGUUGUCCCGGUUUAAGCGUGUAGGCUGGUUUUCCAGGCAAAUCCGGAAAAUCAAGGCUGAGGCGUGAUGACGAGGCACUACGGUGCUGAAGCAACAAAUGCCCUGCUUCCAGGAAAAGCCUCUAAGCAUCAGGUAACAUCAAAUCGUACCCCAAACCGACACAGGUGGUCAGGUAGAGAAUACCAAGGCGCUUGAGAGAACUCGGGUGAAGGAACUAGGCAAAAUGGUGCCGUAACUUCGGGAGAAGGCACGCUGAUAUGUAGGUGAAGUCCCUCGCGGAUGGAGCUGAAAUCAGUCGAAGAUACCAGCUGGCUGCAACUGUUUAUUAAAAACACAGCACUGUGCAAACACGAAAGUGGACGUAUACGGUGUGACGCCUGCCCGGUGCCGGAAGGUUAAUUGAUGGGGUUAGCGGUAACGCGAAGCUCUUGAUCGAAGCCCCGGUAAACGGCGGCCGUAACUAUAACGGUCCUAAGGUAGCGAAAUUCCUUGUCGGGUAAGUUCCGACCUGCACGAAUGGCGUAAUGAUGGCCAGGCUGUCUCCACCCGAGACUCAGUGAAAUUGAACUCGCUGUGAAGAUGCAGUGUACCCGCGGCAAGACGGAAAGACCCCGUGAACCUUUACUAUAGCUUGACACUGAACAUUGAGCCUUGAUGUGUAGGAUAGGUGGGAGGCUUUGAAGUGUGGACGCCAGUCUGCAUGGAGCCGACCUUGAAAUACCACCCUUUAAUGUUUGAUGUUCUAACGUGGACCCGUGAUCCGGGUUGCGGACAGUGUCUGGUGGGUAGUUUGACUGGGGCGGUCUCCUCCUAAAGAGUAACGGAGGAGCACGAAGGUUGGCUAAUCCUGGUCGGACAUCAGGAGGUUAGUGCAAUGGCAUAAGCCAGCUUGACUGCGAGCGUGACGGCGCGAGCAGGUGCGAAAGCAGGUCAUAGUGAUCCGGUGGUUCUGAAUGGAAGGGCCAUCGCUCAACGGAUAAAAGGUACUCCGGGGAUAACAGGCUGAUACCGCCCAAGAGUUCAUAUCGACGGCGGUGUUUGGCACCUCGAUGUCGGCUCAUCACAUCCUGGGGCUGAAGUAGGUCCCAAGGGUAUGGCUGUUCGCCAUUUAAAGUGGUACGCGAGCUGGGUUUAGAACGUCGUGAGACAGUUCGGUCCCUAUCUGCCGUGGGCGCUGGAGAACUGAGGGGGGCUGCUCCUAGUACGAGAGGACCGGAGUGGACGCAUCACUGGUGUUCGGGUUGUCAUGCCAAUGGCACUGCCCGGUAGCUAAAUGCGGAAGAGAUAAGUGCUGAAAGCAUCUAAGCACGAAACUUGCCCCGAGAUGAGUUCUCCCUGACUCCUUGA